UACAGAGGUCUCAAGCGUUGUUCGGAUUCAUUGGGCGUAAAGGGUGCGUAGGUGGCGGGGUAAGUCAGGUGUGAAAUCUCGGGGCUCAACCCCGAAACUGCACUUGAUACUGCCUUGCUCGAGUACUGGAGAGGAGAUUGGAAUUUACGGUGUAGCAGUGAAAUGCGUAGAUAUCUGGAGGGAACACCGGUGGCGAAGGCGGCGUUCUGGACCGAAACUGACGCUGAGGCGCGAAAGCCAGGGGAGCAAACGGG
rnacentral:rRNA from 1 species